UACGGAGGGAGCUAGCGUUAUUCGGAAUUACUGGGCGUAAAGCGUACGUAGGCGGCUUUACAAGUCAGGGGUGAAAGCCCGCGGCUCAACCGCGGAACUGCCCUUGAGACUGUAUCGCUUGAACACGGGAGAGGUGAGUGGAAUUCCGAGUGUAGAGGUGAAAUUCGUAGAUAUUCGGAAGAACACCAGUGGCGAAGGCGGCUCACUGGACCGUUGUUGACGCUGAGGUACGAAAGCGUGGGGAGCAAACAGG
rnacentral:rRNA from 1 species